rnacentral:rRNA from 1 species
GAUGAACGCUAGCGGCAGGCCCAAUACAUGCAAGACGAACGGUAACUUUUGUAGCAAUACGGGGGCUAGAGUGUCGUAAGGGUGCGGAACGGGUAUGCAAUCUGCCCUCAACAGGUGGAUAGCGCCCCGAAAGGGGAAUUAAAAAUCCGGAAUAUCAAGAUACGGCAUCGUCAUGGUAUUAGAACCACGGUGGGUGAGGAUGAGCAUGCUUCAGAUUAGUUAGUUGGCGGGGUAACGGCCCACCAAAGCGAUGAUCCGUAGGGGAACUGACAGGUUGAUCCCCCACACUGGCACUGAGAUACGGGCCAGACUCCUACGGAAGGCAGCAGUAGGGAAUUUUGGACAAUGGGUGCGAGCCUGAUCCAGCCAUGCCGCGUGCAGGAAGACGGCCUUCUGGGUUGUAACCUGCUUUUGCCAGGGGAUAAAAAGCCCUUGCUAGGGAAAUUGAAGGUACCUGGUGAAUAAGCCACGGCUAACUACGUGCCAGCCGCCGCCGUAA